AACGAACGCUGGCGGCAUGCCUAACACAUGCAAGUCGAACGAGACCUUCGGGUCUAGUGGCGCACGGGUGCGUAACGCGUGGGAACCUGCCCUUAGGUUCGGAAUAACUCCCCGAAAGGUGUGCUAAUACCGGAGAAUGUCUUCGGACCAAAGAUUUCUGGCCUUGGGAUGGGCCCGCGUUGGUUUAGCUAGUUGGUAGGGUAAAAGCCUACCAAGGCGACGAUCCAUAGCUGGUCUGAGAGGAUGAUCAGCCACACUGGGACUGAGACCCGGCCCAGACUGCGACGGGAGGCAGGAGUGGGGAAUAUUAGGGGAUGGGCGAAAGCCUGAUCCAGCCAUGCCGCGUAAGUGAUGAAGGCCUUAGGGUUGUAAAGCUCUUUUACACGGGAUGAUAAUGACAGUACCGGGAGAAUAAGCUCCGGCUAACUACGUG
rnacentral:rRNA from 1 species